UGAACACAAAGGUAAAGAGGAGGAGAAGCACCCAAUAUAUGUUCUCUAGGCUUUUUAGAAAAUAUGGAGGUGCUCCUUUGGCCAUAUACAUGUGAACCUGUAAGAAUGGUGAUACUGCAGACAUCAAAGAAUGCAUACUGUUCAAAAAGGAAUGCCCCACAAAUGUUACCAGGGAAAAACUGGAAUAUUCUACAAUGUACCCAGCAUGCUGUUGGCAUUGUUAUAAAUAAACAAGUUAAGAACAAGAUUCUUGCCAAGAUAAUUAACGUGCAUGUUGAGCAUAUUAAGUGCUCUGACAACCGAGAUAACUUUUUGAAAUGCAGGAAGGAAAAUGAUCAGAAAAAGAAGGAAGCAAAAGAGAAAGGUAUGUGAGUUCAACUGAAGUGCCAGCCUGCUCUACCCAAAGAAGUAUACUUUCUGAGACCUAGUGCAAAGCCUGAGCUGCUGGAACCUAUUUCCUGUGAAUUCAUGGCAUAA
rnacentral:lncRNA from 1 species